CCUAAUUUUUUUUUGUAUGUUUUAUAGACACAAAAAAAAUAACAUGGUUUAGCCAUGUUGCCCAGGGUAGUCUCAAACUCCUGAGUUAAGGUGAUCUUCAUCACUUUCUUAUCUCUUUCUCCACCAAGUCUUCAAGGAGUUUCCAUUCUAAGUUGCUCCUUCACUCCCAGAACUGGUGCCUUUGUAUAAUUUCCGUCUCUGCUAGUUUGCACUCUGAGCUUUGUGCAGGUCUCAGAUCUGUUCACCUUAUUUCCCUGCUGAGGAGGGGCGUUCUCUGUAGAACAUUAUUCUAUUUGUGUCUCAUCACUGGGCUUCUGCUUCCUUUUACUUUUCUGCUGUCUUUAUCUGACUUUCUGCUCUGGAGUGAUCUAAGAGCGGGUUCUGCUGGAUUUGAGUAAUUUUUUUCUUCUGCUUAUGUGUAAUCUGAGGUUGUUGUGUUCUCUUUUUCCUAGUUAUGAUAUAAAUCUGUGUAAACAUUUUUAUAGUUUCUCCUUGUUUUAUCCUUAUAUUGUUUUUGAAGGAUGCAUGGGGAGAUUAAGAUUUAGAUGGCUUUCAUUAUCCUGUUGAAACCAGGAUUAGAUUCUUCAGAUCCUAUCUGGAUGUGAAGCAAACAGAACACUGCCUAUUUCCUUCUCAGUGGAUUCUUUUUGUUUGUUUUUUGAGAUGGAGUCUCGCUCUGUCACCAGGCUGGAGUGCAGUGCAGCAAUCUUCGCUCAGUAGCGGGGACUACGGGCGUGCACCACCACAACCGGCUAAUUUUUGUACGUUUAGUAGAGGCAGGGUUUCACCAUGUCUGGCCACCAGGUUUGGCCAGGAUGGUCUCUAUCUUCUGACCUUGUGAUCUACCUGCCUCGGCCUCCCAAAGUGCUGGGAUUACAGGCACAAGCUUUGCUUUCCUUCUAUAGGCGUCUUAAUUCUUCCUUAAGAAAGAUAAAUGCAGUUGAUUAACGUUGGAGAUGUCAUAGGAUAAAUUAUUAUUACGCUGUAAAGUUACCCUCUCUUAGACUGGUGGCACUAAGGGUUGUCAGAUGUAGAAAGUGAAAAUAGAUGUUAAUUUGAAUUUCAGAUAAGCAGUGAAUAACUUUUUAGUAUAAAUAUGUCCCAUCCAAUAUAUGGGAUCUACUUAAACUAAAAAAGUUUUUCUUCUUUAUCUGAAAUUCAAAUUUAACUGGGGGCUUUUGUAUUUUAUCUAGCAGCUCUCCUUUAGGGAAAGAAAUGUUUGUUACCGUUUUUCACAGUCCACGUGGUACCUAGUAUGAUACCUGGGAUGGUGCUGAGCAAAAAGCAUGUGCAAAAUGUUUGUUGAAUUAAUGCUACAAAUUUAAUUUAAUAAGAAACUUCAUAAUCAUAAUGUUAUUUUCUAAUGAAAUGUGAGGAUAACAACAAAAAUGUUCAGUGCAGUUCUAUUCAAUCUCAUUUCCAGUUGGACUAAGACAUUUAUUUUUUUCAGUUAUAUGAAUUGAUGUUCUACUUAAUGGUGUUCUUCAUGUUUGAUUUUUCAAAAAACCUUUAAAAAUUCUGCUACCUUAAACUGUCAUAUAUAUAUAUGAGAGCUCGAUCAUAUAUUGCUAGAUAAGUGGAGUGAAAGUUAGAUUGAUAAAAUGCAGCAAUCACAAAAGCUAAGGAAUAACCGUAUUUCAGACAGUGUCUUUUUUUUCUACCCUACAAUCAUACUUCAUUAUUACCUGCUUUAUAUCCCUACGUUUACGUUUAUGUAGCUCUGGUGGAGAUGACCUAAUCUCGGAGAAGGUAAACUGUCUCCUAGCCCUAGGGAAUAAAUGGGAUGAAGAAAGAGGUAUACCAGUGACCCAGUUUUAGCCAAUAACAACUACUGAUGAAGCUGAUACUGAGGAAUUUCUUUCUCUUAGGAGAGAAUGUCUUUUGUGACGUCUUUCCCUCUGCUUGGGAUUCUGAUGAGGGAUAUCAUACAAGGAGCUGUGGCAGUUAUCUUGAAAUCAGGAGGCACUUUCAGAGGAAAAUGGGCCAACAGCUGAGUCUGGUGGCGGCGAACAUAGUCUGGUUCCAUAAUGAGUUCAUUAACUCGGAGUCACCAACUUUCAGAUUAACUGGAUGAUAAUUAAAUGCCUUUUCUGAGAAUGGUUAAUUGGGGCUUUUUUUUCCUUGCAGCUAAAAACAUUCCAAGCUAUGAAUAGUACAAACUUAUCACUAGAAAGUAACUUAAGGAAUUUAUACGUUAAACGAAUCCUUGUAAAGGAAGUGUUAUUUUUUGUUUGUCUUGGUUAGAAUCUUUGGAGUACUGUGAUCUGUCACUUUAUUGUUCACUGUGCCCUUUCUUCCAUUUUAAUGAAAAAUAAGGUGUUGGAGAAUAAAGUGGGAAGGGCUGCGUUUUGCUGCCAUGUCCGAUGAGCAGCUUUUAGGGUCUCUGUAAGUCCAACUUAACAUCUUUCAAUAUCUUUCUCCACUUUUUCCACCAUGGAAAGCCCUACUCUAAAUGAUCAGUGAAAACAUACCACUGUCAGACAUGAGGACGUUUUGGACUUUGACUGUCUAAGGUGUUUAUCUUAGUUAUCCAUGAAGAGCUUACUAAUUAGAAAGGAAAGACAACGUGCUUGGAAAACCAUGUUCUAAAAUAUGUACGUGGGCUGCAGAAUGUGGCUGUGGAAAGCUGCUACCCCAGUGUUGAACUUAAUUGUGUUAACAUUAUUCCUUUCAUUAAUGAAUGGAAAAAAAUGUGGUUUAGGCUCCAGAAACAGCAUUCCAGUUUACCUUGAAUAUGCCACUGUAAGAGAUUAGGAGUUGCUAUAGAGAAAGUUCAGUGUCCUUGCUCUAUACAUGAAGAUGCGUCGCUGUGUGGAUGGUGACUUUUCUGGAAUUACUAUUUUUAUCUAACAAGAAAUUCUGUUGGAUGCUAUUAAAGCAAGUUGCUUGGUUAAAUUCUUGAAAGGAUUCGACAUUUUUUGUUAAUAAGAAAAACAUUUGCAAUUACGCUUGCUAGUGGAGGAUAAAAACGAGUUCGUUUUCUUGCUCAUUAUACUCCAGGGUCUGGAGAGAAUCUCUCCAGGUCGAAGAGGCAAUCUUCUCUGUAGGUUCCUUUAUUGAGUGGCUAAUCAAAUGCAUUGUGGGAUCCUUCAUCUUUUCUGAAAGCUUCUGCUGCUUGCCACUGUGCAAGAAGUCCUGGACAUAUUAUUGGCCUGUCCAAGCAAAAUGUUUCAUUUUCCUUGUAAGCAACUUUGUAGAUUUUAUACUAGUUUACAUCUUCAAGUGGACAAUAAAAGCAAAGAUGUCAGGUAGAUUCCAACAAUUAUUUUUACUGAGUCUAGAAGGAAUGAUAUUGAAGCACGCUUUUUAGUGGCUAUCAGUAUUCAUUUUGCUGAUUGUCAGAAGUGAGACUGUUUUUGCUUUGCCCUGUAAGUAGAUUCAUUUUUCUGUGGAUACAUCACAGCAAUAGCAUAUUAUCAUACUUUUGAAACAUCACACAUAUCACAGUGUGGAUCGUUUUUGUCAUAAGUAGUUUUAUUUGUUUUUAAUUUUGUAUUUGAAAUGUGGAAAUGUGUUUUGUUUUGCUUUUAAAUUUUAAAUGACAGUAGGUUGGGGGCCUCAAUUUUGCUCUAACUUGCUCUUCCAUGGUCAGAGUUUAUUGCCUGAUGCCUAUAAAAGCCUCUUUCCAAAAUGAAGUUUCAGUGUUCAUUGAAUAAAUGUCAGCUCACUAACAGAAAAACUGUAAAGAACUCAGGGUAUAAAUUUAAUAACACAUUUCCCUUAAUGUCAUCCAAGGUCUCUCUUUUAUUUUCUUCAUAACUAUUACCGUGAUCUCUAAUUAUAGUUUGUCUUAUUUGCCUACUUAUUUAUUAUGCAUCUGCCCAAAUUUGAAUAUCACCUUUACGAAGACUAGAUCAUGUGUUUUCUCAUUCCAUAAUAUAGACUUAGUGUCUAAAAGGCAUUUAAUAUGUACGGUUGGAAAUUUUUAAAAAUGAACACACACACACAGGCGAAUAAAUACAUGUUUCGACAGUUUACAGAUGUAAAAUUAAUGUAACUGUCAUUACUCUAACUAUUAUGGGAUAAGCCAUCAUGCAAUAGAUACAUGUCCUUCAGAAGGACUUUUAGAUAACUCAACUAUGACAGACAUUAAUAACUAAAUCCUACACAUCAGAUUGAAAAUUCUCCCAGUGUUCACAUGAAUGAAAAAGCCCAUAUUAACAUCUAUGUCAGUCACUCCUUCAAAUGCCUUUAUCCCCAGUGGACAUCUGACUACAAAGUAUGGGAGGCCCCAAGUGAAAACCACACAGCUCAUCCUACUCAACCCAUAGAAUUGUGAAUGGUAAUAAUAAAUUAUUGUUUCUGGCCAUUACAUUUUGGGAUAGUUGGCUUGUGCAAUAUAGGAAAAACAGAAAGUUGGUAAUAUAAACUUCAACUAUUGAUACUGAGUUAUAUUCCUUUUCUAAGCAGCACACCUUUAUUUGAGAUCAUUAUGUGUAUUAGACAUGCCCUUUGAUUAUAUAAAAACAUAAAGAUGAGUUAUACUGAAAGAAGUUGUGUCACUAGGAAAAAGAAAGAUUUGCAAGAAAGCAAAGUUGAAUUCAAAUUUUGUCUGCAACCAGUUAAGGUGCAUGUGGGUCUUAAGAAACCCUACCUCUUCUGCUACAGUUGCUUGAUUUUAUACUCCGCCCUGGUUUCCAAGCUUCCUUACCACAGUCCCUUUACAUUUCUUAUAGAAAUAAAUGUAUUUUGGAUAAUAACUUAUUAGAGGUCAUGGUGAAAAUCCUUUAGAACCAUUAGAAUAUUCAAAAAGUUGAGCCUGAAGUCUCAUAGAUCUGGAGAGGAGCAAGGUCAAAAAAUCUGAAAAGACCCAUUUGAAAUUCUGCAUCCCCCUUAUUUGUAGAUACAAUUUCAAUACACUAAGAAGUCUUUUUUGUCUUUUAAGUUAACUACCUUAGCACCUUAAUUUGAGACAGAAAUCAGGGGGACCACUGUUAAUGUUUAAUACCAAAUGUCUGCUGCUGUCUGAUGAGUUUAAACAGGUUAAACUUGUAUUUUACUAGGAAAUUCCAAGUGGUUCCUAUUCUUGGAGGGACCAAGACCAUGUAAUGAUCAUGUGCCCAUCACUUGAAUGUGCACAGCUUUGUUGUUUUGUGCAUUUGAUCCUCUCCAUCCCUCGGUGUCCUCCUCUUUUCAUAUGUAUACCACCUGUGUGACUUAGCUUUGAAAAUAUCCUUUGAAAGCAUCUUAGCUGUGGAAGUUUUAGGGGUUGACUUAAGGAAGCUGAAGUGGCUUUUACUGUUUAGAAUUUCUGCAGAGUCCUGGAAAGAGAUGUAGCCUUCAGUAAAAAUCUGUGAGAAAUUGAAAUGUGAUAGAACUUAGAGAGCAAAUUUAUGUAUUAUUUUUCUAUUUAUUUGUCUUUCUGUUCAUCCAUUCGUUCAUUCAUUCAUCCAUCCAUUGAAAAGAUAAUGAUUAUGUUGUCAAAAGCUGAGUGCAGAAUGAAUGAAGGUUUGGAGGAAUAUUAUGUAAAUAUAUCCCUGUGCAGCUUGAUUUGUUCAACUGAAAAAUGGAUGGUUUUCAGUUGCCAUUAUAUUUCAUGAGAUUACUUUAGUCAUUUAUGAAGCAAUGUAAAUGAAGAAAGGUAACAUAUUAAUAAAGUUGUUUUUUAGUAUUUUUGAAUGAUGUUUAAAUUUCCUCUCCUUGACCUUAUAUGUCUCCAACACUAGAAAAAAAAUUAUUUCCUAUAAUGUUUUCUCAACUUUCUUUUUGUGACUUUGAAGAAAUAAAAAUAGUGGGAACUGAAGGCAGUUGGUUGUGCUUAUCCAAGCCACACCACAUUCUAUUCACUUUUUAAAAAGGAAAAGGUGCUCCAUUCUAUGAGCACCGCUUCCUGAGACCUCUGAAUAAAGAGGAGGCAGAGGUUUCUGAGCAGAUUUAUGCUUGCGGAAUUUUGCAAAUAAUAUAAACAAAAAAUUACAUUUUAGGAAAUAAUGGGAGUUGCUUACUGCUCAUGUUUCCAUAAUUAUUAAAUAAUGCAAUUCAGUUGCUUCUAAAAUUCAUUUUUAUGAGCUCCAGCAUAGGAAUUGUUUCUUGGCAUAUAAACACUUAAGAAAAACAUUUUAAUUGAGAUCCUUCAUAAGCAAACACAAUUAACUAAUUUACUAAUUGUACAAUUUGUGGGAGAGAGUAAUGUGUUAAGAAAUAUUUGAUUUUUGAUUCAUAGCCAGGAAGAAAGUCAUUUGGCAAAACUGAAUUUCCCCUCAACUUACAGUAGAAUUGUUGCAUGACCUAAAAAGGAUAACAAUAUUCAAAUUGAGCCAUAUACCAAAACCAGAGGAAAGUUGAACAAUAUUCACUCUGCCAUGCCUUGUUGUUCCAAGGGAAACAAACUUCUGCAUCCCUGAGCUCCUCCCUCGACAGUAGAGAUUUCCCACCAGACUUACAAGCUCACCUCUUGCUAUGUUACAUCUCUCUGACUACUUCUGCCAGGAGGAUUGAACAUUGUUAGUGGCAUAUUAGAAUAAUCAGCAACCCCAAAUGAAUGUCUUCUCUUCUCGCAUAAUUCCCUCUGAAGGCUUCAGUCCCUGCACAUUUCCUGUGUUCUUUCUUAUACCUUUACAUUGGCAGAGUUGAAUAAGCGGGUGCCCUAUUAUGAGUCAAUGUGCAAAAGAUGAAGAUUUCUAGAUCUUAUUUUCACUUUCUUUAUUACCUGUUUUAUAUGCAUAUAUAUAUAUGGAAAUAUAUAUAUAUGGAAAUGCAUAUAUAUAUAUAUAUAUAUGGAAAGAGAUUUAUCAUGAAGGAUGGGUUUAUGUGAUAAUAGAGGCUGAGAAGUCUCAUGAUCUGAUAUCUGCAAGAUGGAAGCCUCGGAAAGCCAUUAGUUCUAGUCUAAGCCCAGAAGGCACAAGAACCUGGAGAACCAAUGGUGUAAGUCCCAGUCUGAGUCAGAAGACAGGAGAAGCAGGAGCACCAGUGCCCAAGGGCAGGAGAAGAUGAAUGUCUUAGCUCAAGCAGAGAAAGCAAAUCCACUCUUCUGACUUUUUUUGUAUUCUGACACUCAACAGAUCAGAUGAUGCCCACCCACAUUGUGUGGACAGUUUUCUCUUACUCCAUCUAUUCAAAUGCUACUCCCUUCGGGAAGCAUGUGAACAGACACAUCCAGAAAUACUAUUUACCAGCUAUCUGAGUAUUCCUAAACCCAGUCAAGUAACACAUAAAAUUAAUCGUCAUGGCCUCUCAAAAAAUAUUGAUUUAUGAAUUAUUGAGUAUUUUUGUUAUGAACAUUAAUGAUUAUAAAGAUAUAAUAAUAUAGCCCAAGUGGCUUGUAAUUUCACUAGGAAGGUAAAACACAUAUAUAACCAAAGAUGACUAAUACGAAGAGCAGUGGAUGGGUGAGCAGAAAAACACUGGGCUUUCGUUGAAAAGAAUGUUCAGUUGAAUGCCCAGGGAUCUUAGAAUUUGCUUUAGAAUCAUGUAUUAGACAAAUUUAGGUGUUCUCAUUGCCUUUCAUCCCCCAGUUACACAGCCAACUCCCAGAUAAGCAGCUUCAACUUGGGGCACUGAUUUUCUCCUGCCUUUCUGGUUUGGCCAACUUCCCUCAGAUUGAUAACCUUGAAUAUUAGUGAGCUUUUGUUGCGUAAGAAACCACGCCCUGCGCACCUAUCCAGCCUCAAUUCUUCCCGUUUUUCUCAUCUCCCACCUCACCUUUUAUAACCUGUAUUCUCUUGCUAUAUUGACUUUCCUUAAACACUCCAGUCUCUCUAUGAUUAUUUUGUACUUUUACCCUCAUCCCCCACUUGCCAUUUGGCUAGUCAGCUUGUAUUAGAGGCUCAGUUUAAAUGUUAUUUUCUCUAGAAAGUGCUCUUAGCCUACCUAUACUUUCCCCUAAUUGGGUUUCAUGUUCCCACAAUAUCCUGGCAACCUGUGUUAAUAAUACCUAACAUGUAUUGUUAAAGGGCAAGUCGGGGAUGGAGAGGAUAUGUUCCAUCUUGGUAAAGGAAUGGACUGACCAUAAUGUACCACUGGGUCCACUUUCUGUACCUCAUGGACAAUUUUUUGGAAUUGCUUGUCUGUCGCAUGGACUGGACUUCAGGUACCUAACAAUAGGGACAGUGUCAUGCCAGUAUGGUGACUGGAAUGUAGUAAGUGAGAAGGAAAAAUGACAAUAGAGAUGGAGGCAAUGGUUUCAGACCUAGAUUUCUGAAACCUGACUCAGUUUUUUGAACUGAGAUAUUUGAGAUUGGUGUGAACCCUGGAAGCUCCAGAGAGCACUACAUAUAAAAGAUAAGCUUGUUCUUGGUGCUGCAGAAAUACCCACUAAGUUUUAGGAGCAUUAGUUACUGUUGAGCACCAAGGCCUGGUAAUAGAGUGGAAAGCAGUUCUCCAAACACUAAUAUGAGACUUGUAAAGAUUCCUUAAAGGGAGACCUUUAAGGCUUGUUGAUUUAUUGAUAUUUAUUUUGUUAAGUAGUUUUAAGACUAAAUGGUUUCUAACGCAAGAUGGGUCAAGUUUGGAAAGAUUCAAAGAGGGUCACAAAAUGUACAAAUGAGAAAUGCCAUCCACUUAACGAAAUCUAAAGACCGUCUAGUUAGACUUUGACUGCUGUGCUUUGAUUUCUUAAUCCUCAAUUAUGAGUAGAAUUUUGGAAAUGGAUUUAUUCUGCUUUCUUCUCUAUAAGCCUAUCUUGUACACCACAGCUGCCUUCUCCCAACCUCCACUAUUUGCUGAUGUUCUCUUGGCGUUAUGUCUGGUGCUCUAACAUUUUCUAACUGAGAAAUGAUCUGAUGUCAAGAUUCUAUCAUAGUAGUUGGGAACCAUGGUUCUAGCAGAGGUGGAAUAGUGGUAUAAAUGUGUGGAGUAAAAAGGAUGAUUCAUAGGAGACCGAAACUUUCAACCAGUAUACCAAAAGGCAAUUACACGCUGUUUCCUACUUGUGCACCCCAUCCCCAGGCCCUGUUCCCCAGCUCUGGCUCACAACCUCAAAUGUAAAAUAAUUCAGGUCAUCCCAACUAACCUUACUAAUGAUUAAUUGCCCUUUCAAGUUUGCCUGAUCUGUCUCUCCAAUGAAGAAAACCAUCGUCUUUUUAUUUUAUCAUAAUUGAUCUCCUUUUUUAGUUUUUUGAAAAAAAGCUAAAAUGUUCUUCCCUAACUCUUAGGAAUACUGAUGCCCCUAUAUAGGUGCUGCCAUCAGUAGUAGCAUGAUCGUAAUAAGAGCAACCAAUUGUUAUGUACUUUAUCUUUUUUAUAGCAAUUGUCUGUGUUCAAACUACAGAUGAGGUUUUAAGAAUUUAGGUGAGUUGACACUCAACUCUCCUCUGCCUGAUUCCCUUUAGCUCACAUCCUUAGCUGCUCUGCUGAAUUUGGUGGUGUUAAAAUGUAUUGGGCCUCCGUGGGAUUUCCGGUUAAUCCACAGACUGAAUAAUCAUCCUGUGAAUAAUUGGACAGAGCAUCUAUUUUGUCUUGGGGGCAGUUGUGUAUGUAUGUGAUAACCAAGGAUUUGAAAUUCACCAAAUUGACUCAUAAGUAUUGUAAUAAACAUCUUAGGACUUAACUACCUUGAUUUAUAUUUCUAAGAAUUUUAAAGGCACCUGCAGUUUUGGAGGCACAGAAUCUGUACUUCAUAAAACCCAAGAAGAACACAUCAAUUUAUGGUCUUCCUUGCACAUGUCAAAUGUUCAUUUAUAAAACGUAAUCUUGAGAAGGAAAGUUUAAAGAAGGUCUCCACCAAAAAAAAAAGUAAAAGGGAGUGAAAUGAUUGUCUGAAACUGCAAAGAGAACCAAGUACUGAGAAGCAGAUGUCAGACCCAUUGGAAGGCAUGACUUAAUCAGAAAUAGAUCAGGACUAACCAUAGCGGGCUGUUUCCAGUGGUACCCUGGAUUGGCCUUCUUUAAGUCAUGAACAUUGAUUGUUACACGUUUAGAAAUUUUGCAGUUGUGGUGGUUUAAUACUAAUCAUGAUGUGAAUAUUUACACUGGAAAUUGGGAAACACUACACAUAAGGGCUAUUUUUUAAAGCAGGGGUCCCCAAGCCCUGGCUGUGGACCAGUACUGGUUGUGGCCUGUUGAGAAGUGGCCUGCACAGCAGGAGGUCAGUGGCGGGUGAGCAUUACCUCUGGAGCUCCUGUCAGAUCAGCAGUGCCCUUACAUUCCCAGAGGAGCAUGGACCCUGUUGUGAACUGUGCAUGUGAGGGAUCUAGGUUGCAUGCUCCUUAUGAGACUUCAACUAAUGCCCAAUGAUCUGAGGUGGAAUAGUUUCCUCCUAAAGCCACCUCCCCACCACCACGUUGGUGGAAAAAUUAUCUUCCACAAAACCAGUUCCUGGUGUCAGAAAGAUUGGGGACCACUGUUUUAAAGAACUGAUUUACCAGCACUUUAUUGCCUUUUUAAUAAAGAAGUCAACUUCCUGUUGCUAAAAGUUUUCAAAUAUAAACCUGGUGCUUCUAGAAAGAUAUGAUACAAUAAAUGGAAUAAGGGGAAUACAUUCCACUUUAUCCCUGGAAGUACUCAUCAUGGUGCUUAGGCCAGAGUGAUUUCUGUUAUUUGAGUUUCUUUACUGGAACCUUUCUCCAGCACCCGUGGCUUGUCUACUCCUUAUCCACCUUUAUCUGAAUUUGCUUGUGUUUGGCCCUCCUCUAAGCCCUUUCUGUUUUAGUUUUAACACAAGAGUUACCUAGUUCUAUGCUCUGGUGUCAGACUGCUUAGAUUUGAAUCCUAAUUUCACAUUAGCCAGCUGUUUGAAUUCUGGAAGGUUACCUAGGCUGAUUAAGUCUCAUUUUCUUUAUCUGUUAAAAGCAGAUGACAAAAGUACCUCUCACAAAUGGUUGUUCUAAAUUUUAAAUGAUGGUAAUCCAUGUAAGGUGAUUAGUAAAAUGCUUGGCCAUGGUAAGGACCUCGUAAAUGUUAGUUAUAUUUUCAUUUAAGGAAUAUCAAUUUUUUUUAACUUCUAACAACUCUUGAACUCCAAAUUUUACAAAGAAUUUCAAGUAUAUGUACACUUUACCUAGUUGACUAUAUAUGAUUCUUCAUUUGUCUGUAAAGCAGGUUUUUGUAUAUUUAAUUUUAUUUUCUUGUUAAUGUUGUAUAGUCAGAGAUGAAGUCUUGUAAGCCACUGUGUCAGUAAUAAUGAACAAUAGAUGUUUUCAUUCUUAGCAGAAUAUUGACAGGAUUUGAAUUGGCAGUUCACUGGAGACCCUCAGAACUUAGAGAAAUUUAAAAAAUAUAAUACCAAAGGCCCGCCACCUACCCUCAUCAGCACCUCCCACCUCAGUCUGAAGAAAAUGAUGAUGAGAACAAAGGUGUUUAUUUGGGGUAUAAACUGUCUUUCAUUGAACUGUGAGAUGUUUAUGAAGACCCAAAAGAAGUGGACAUACCCAGAGUGGUUUAUGAGUAGAAUAGUUCAUAACCCUGGUAUAGAAAAGGCCAUUUCUUGAACUCACAGAAAAACGUCCUUAAAAUUUCAUUCCAAAAAAAAAAAAAAUA